UACGUAGGGUGCAAGCGUUAAUCGGAAUUACUGGGCGUAAAGCGUGCGCAGGCGGUUAUGUAAGACAGAUGUGAAAUCCCCGGGCUCAACCUGGGAACUGCAUUUGUGACUGCAUAGCUAGAGUACGGCAGAGGGGGAUGGAAUUCCGCGUGUAGCAGUGAAAUGCGUAGAUAUGCGGAGGAACACCGAUGGCGAAGGCAAUCCCCUGGGCCUGUACUGACGCUCAUGCACGAAAGCGUGGGGAGCAAGCAGG
rnacentral:rRNA from 1 species